rnacentral:rRNA from 1 species
CCUUUGGAUUACAAUUUUAAUUAGGAAUUACGGAAAUAGACUUGGAAUAAGUUUUUAGAAGGUGGAUUUGUGAGUAAUUUUGUUAUAGGAUUAUUAGAUGAAGGGUGGAAUAACAUGUGUACAUAUUGCCCGUCGCUCUCGUUAUUUUUGAGAUAAGUCGUAACAUAGUUGAUAUACUGGAAAGUGUAUCUUUUUGG